rnacentral:rRNA from 1 species
NUUGUGGGGGCAAGUCUGGUGCCAGCAGCCGCGGUAAUUCCAGCUCCAAUAGCGUAUAUUAAAGUUGUUGCAGUUAAAAAGCUCGUAGUUGAAUUUCGGGAUCAAUAUGUUGGUCGUGCCUUGGUACGUACUAAUUUAUUGGUUUCUUCCUUCUGACGAACCAUGAUGUCAUUAAUUUGGUGUCUUGGGGAAUCAGGACUGUUACUUUGAAAAAAUUAGAGUGUUUAAAGCAGGCUCACGCUUGAAUACAUUAGCAUGGAAUAAUGAAAUAGGAUGUUUGAUUCUAUUUUGUUGGUUUCUAGGAUCGACGUAAUGAUUAAUAGGGAUAGUUGGGGGCAUUAGUAUUCAAUUGUCAGAGGUGAAAUUCUUGGAUUUAUUGAAGACUAACUACUGCGAAAGCAUUUGCCAAGGAUGUUUUCAUUAAUCAAGAACGAAAGUUAGGGGAUCGAAGACGAUCAGAUACCGUCGCAGUCUUAACCAUAAACUAUGCCGACUAGGGAUCGGAUGAU